UACGUAGGGUCCGAGCGUUGUCCGGAAUUAUUGGGCGUAAAGAGCUCGUAGGCGGCCUGUUGCGUCCGCCGUCAAAUCCCAGGGCUCAACCCUGGACAGGCGGUGGAAACUACCAAGCUGGAGUACGGUAGGGGCAGAGGGAAUUUCCGGUGGAGCGGUGAAAUGCGUAGAGAUCGGAAAGAACACCAACGGCGAAACGCACUCUGCUGGGCCGACACUGACACUGAGAGACGAAAGCCUAGGGGAGCGAAUGGG
rnacentral:rRNA from 1 species